rnacentral:tRNA from 1 species
GGUUGGCUACUUGGUGGCCUCAAAAGAAGGGUUUUGUAAGUCCUGGCACUGAUCCGCCGGUCU